GGGUCAGUAGGUUGGUCGUGCCACUGGUACGUACUGGUCUCACUGAUUCCUCCUUCCUGAAGAACCGUAAUGCCAUUAAUUUGGUGUUGCGGGGAAACAGGACUGUUACUUUGAAAAAAUUAGAGUGUUUAAAGCAAGCUAACGCUUGAAUAAAUUAGCAUGGAAUAAUGAAAUAGGACGAUCGAUCCUAUUUUGUUGGUUUCCAGGAUUGACGUA
rnacentral:rRNA from 1 species